rnacentral:rRNA from 1 species
UACGUAGGGUGCAAGCGUUGUCCGGAAUUAUUGGGCGUAAAGAGCUCGUAGGCGGUUUGUUGCGUCGGCUGUGAAAUCCCGAGGCUCAACCUCGGGUCUGCAGUCGAUACGAGCAAACUAGAGUGUUGCAGGGGAGACUGGAAUUCCUGGUGUAGCGGUGAAAUGCGCAGACAUCAGGAGGAACACCGAUGGCGAAGGCAGUUCUCUGGGCCGUAACUGACGCUGAGGAGCGAAAGCGUGGGGAGCGAACAGG